UCAUACAACUUUGUAAAGACUAAAGGUAAAGAAACUAAUUAUAACAAAUAGUCAUAGUAAUGUAUCUAUUGGCUAAUUACAAUUCUUUUUGCAGUUGAA